CAGGACGAACGCUGGCGGCGUGCCUAACACAUGCAAGUCGAGCGGAGUCAGUAAGAGGAAGUUUCGGAUGGAAUCUGUUGAUUAGCGGCGGACGGGUGAGUAACGCGUGAGCGACCAACCUUGCACAGGGGGAUAACGGACCGAAAGGUUCACUAAUACCGCAUGAGACCACGGUGUUGCAUGACACAGAGGUCAAAGGAGCAAUCCGGUGCAAGACGGGCUCGCGUCCGAUUAGGUAGUUGGAGGGUAACGGCCCACCAAGCCUAUGAUCGGUAGCCGACCUGAGAGGGUGAUCGGCCACAUUGGAACUGAGAUACGGUCCAAACUCCUACGGGAGGCAGCAGUGGGGAAUAUUGGGCAAUGGGGGGAAAAACCCCUGACCCAGCAACGCCGCGUGAAGGAAGAAGGUUUUCGGAUUGCAAACUUCUGUCCUUGGUGAAGAGAAGAAGACGGUAGCCAAGGAGGAAGCCCCGGCUAACUACGUGCCAGCAGCCGC
rnacentral:rRNA from 1 species